UUGGAUGUGAUCGGUUGGAGCUGCUUCCGCAUGUAGCGGCUUCCCCUGGUCAUUGUUGCCCUCCUGACUUCUGCUACGAAAUUAAUCAGCCAGAUAUUUCGUGACUCAUCCAUCCUCUCUCUCUCCAGUCUCCCGAACCUUCCCCUCGCGCGAUCCCGACCGUGGCGCCGCCGCUCCCAGCCACUGCCUCCGGCGCCGCUCUGAGCGGCCGCGCUCCCGAGCGCCAUCCGCCCCCCCCCCCCAACCCGCACAGAGGUUGCGAGCCCGCCGCUGGUGGCCGCGGUGCCGCGAGGCCGCAGCUCCGCCCUCACCGGCUCAGAUUCGCCAGGUGCUCCGUCUGUCCCAGCGCCGCGCACUCCACCCCUGCCUCUUCCUUGCUCUGACGUCCCAACGCUGUGAUGCGCUACCUCGGAGCCCCAGCGCAAGAAGACCCUAGCGGAGCAGCCCGGGCGCCGGCGUCUCCCUUGGUCCCACUCCCGUGUCCGUGUCGAGCCGGCGAUGCCCCGCCAGUGCCUUUAGGCCGUGCGAACGUCCUCCAGGUUCCAGCAUCCAGCCAAGCUCUGCCAGCCGCCGGGAUUCCUGGGCACCUCUGUCGUGUACACUCAUAUGCUUCAGAUGCCGGCUGCAAUUUGUGAUUCACCAUAUUAAAUGGGGCUUAUGCCGCAUCUGUUGCCACGGAGUCCGCUGCCUAAACUGAAGGGCAUCGUCUAUUCUACUUACAGACUCAUUUCUCGAAUCAGAGCAUCCAGAAAUUUAAACCAACAUAUCUUGCUGUAAUUUCAGCAGUUGACAGCCAAACAGCUGAGUAUGCCUCUUCAAUUAAUCUGAAGGUGCCUCAGGUGGCAUAAUGACCUGUAAAUCUGGAGUUUAGUCUGCACCUAUUUUUGCAGUAUAUGUACUCUUCCAGUGCCCCUGUUAACUGAAACCAGUAGAAAAAUCAGGUCAGAACUCUCAACCUUCUAAAAAGGAGAUAUGCUAUUCCUUACAUGAUAAAAAAGUGAAAUGUGCCAUUACUGUUUGCUUAUGACAGAACAUGACCUCACACUGUGCAGCAUGUUGAAUAUCAAAAUGUCAACCUUCCGUGAAUGUACUUAUCUCUUCUCCUAUCCCACUUAAAACAUUCCUAAUCAGUGUACGUAAUACCUCAUCAUUUAUUUCACACAAAUUUCAGUUUGAAAGCAAUACUGCACCAAUUUAGCCACUCUACAAAGAGUUAUAAUUUUUCAAAAGCAAUACUGCACCUAUCUAGCCGCUCUACAAUGGGUGAUAAUUUUACCAUGUGCAUUCCUUAUUUCUUGCUCAUUCAUCAUCAAAGCAUUCCUGUGAUGGCCCUUGCAUGCCAUCUAGCCAGUUCUAGAAAGACAUGAACCUACUUUGGACAACUUAAUCUCGCAUCCUGUUUAACUAUUUUUUAUGCGAACAAUCUUUAUGCUUCUGAUUGCUAAAUCAUUUGCAUGAAAGCCAAGGAAUAGGCUAAUGAAUGACAUAACGUUUUUUUUUUUGGUGUUUUCCUUGCUACUACAGCUGCUUCUUGAUGAAAAGUGUGACAGCAAGGUGCCACCAUCAAAUCAUCUCUGCAAGAUAUCAUUUCAAGAAUAGUCUGUUCACGUGUGAAACAUUAGGUUCUCUGAUCUGUUCACUCUUUAUCCUUUAUUUAAUACAUAAUACUUCAAAAAAAUGUAAUUGGGAGUUUCAAUAAUCUUUCUGUAUGCCCAUAAUUACAGUAAGUAUUACCAAACAUGCCCCGCGCAAUGCGCGGGGG